rnacentral:rRNA from 1 species
AUGACGAAAGUCUGACGGAGCAACGCCGCGUGAGUGAUGAAGGUUUCGGAUCGUAAAGCUCUGUUGUUAGGGAAGAACAAGUGCCGUUCAAAUAGGGCGGCACCUUGACGGUACCUAACCAGAAAGCCACGGCUAACUACGUGCCAGCAGCCGCGGUAAUACGUAGGUGGCAAGCGUUGUCCGGAAUUAUUGGGCGUAAAGGGCUCGCAGGCGGUUUCUUAAGUCUGAUGUGAAAGCCCCCGGCUCAACCGGGGAGGGUCAUUGGAAACUGGGGAACUUGAGUGCAGAAGAGGAGAGUGGAAUUCCACGUGUAGCGGUGAAAUGCGUAGAGAUGUGGAGGAACACCAGUGGCGAAGGCGACUCUCUGGUCUGUAACUGACGCUGAGGAGCGAAAGCGUGGGGAGCGAACAGGAUUAGAUACCCUGGUAGUCCACGCCGUAAACGAUGAGUGCUAAGUGUUAGGGGGUUUCCGCCCCUUAGUGCUGCAGCUAACGCAUUAAGCACUCCGCCUGGGGAGUACGGUCGCAAGACUGAAACUCAAAGGAAUUGACGGGGGCCCGCACAAGCGGUGGAGCAUGUGGUUUAAUUCGAAGCAACGCGAAGAACCUUACCAGGUCUUGACAUCCUCUGACAAUCCUAGAGAUAGGACGUCCCCUUCGGGGGCAGAGUGACAGGUGGUGCAUGGUUGUCGUCAGCUCGUGUCGUGAGAUGUUGGGUUAAGUCCCGCAACGAGCGCAACCCUUGAUCUUAGUUGCCAGCAUUCAGUUGGGCACUCUAAGGUGACUGCCGGUGACAAACCGGAGGAAGGUGGGGAUGACGUCAAAUCAUCAUGCCCCUUAUGACCUGGGCUACACACGUGCUACAAUGGACAGAACAAAGGGCAGCGAAACCGCGAGGUUAAGCCAAUCCCACAAAUCUGUUCUCAGUUCGGAUCGCAGUCUGCAACUCGACUGCGUGAAGCUGGAAUCGCUAGUAAUCG